rnacentral:rRNA from 1 species
AUUGAACGCUGGCGGCAGGCCUAACACAUGCAAGUCGAACGAGUGGCGGACGGGUGAGUAAUGUCUGGGAAACUGCCUGAUGGAGGGGGAUAACUACUGGAAACGGUAGCUAAUACCGCAUACCAUCAGAUGUGCCCAGAUGGGAUUAGCUAGUUGGUGGGGUAACGGCUCACCAAGGCGACGUUCCCUAGCUGGUCUGAGAGGAUGACCAGCAACACUGGAACUGAGAAACGGUACCGACUCAUACGGGAGGCAGAAUUGGGGAAGAUGGCACAAUGGGCGCAAGCCUAAAUCAGCCAUGCCGCGUGUAUGAAGAGGGUCUUCGGGUAGUAAAGUACUUUCAGCGGGGAGGCGUUACCCGCAGAAGAAGCACCGGCUAACUCCGUGCCAGAAGCCGCGGUAAUAC